rnacentral:rRNA from 1 species
AUUGAACGCUGGCGGCAGGCCUAACACAUGCAAGUCGAACGAGUGGCGGACGGGUGAGUAAUGUCUGGGAAACUGCCCGAUGGAGGGGGAUAACUACUGUAAACGAUAGCUAAUACCGCAUACCAUCGGAUGUUCCCAGAUGUGAUUAGCUAGUGGGUGGGGUAACGGCUCACCUAGGCGACUAUCCCUAGCUGGUCUGAGAGGAUGACCAGCCACACUGGAAAUGAGACACGGUCCAGACUACUACGGGAGGCAGCAGUGGGGAAUAUUGCACAAUGGGCGCAAGCCUGAUGCAGCCAUGCCGCGUGUAGGAAGAAGGCCUUCGGGUUGGAAAGUACUUUCAGCGGGGAGGCGUUACUCGCAGAAGAAGCACCGGCUAACUCCGUGCCAGCAGCCGCGGUAAUAC